AGCGGUGAGGCCGCUCGGGGUCGGCGUCGCCUUGAAUUUUGGGGUCGCCUCCAGUUUUGGGGUCACCACGGGGUUUGGGGUCACCACGGGGUUUGGUGUCACCACAGGGUUUGGCGUCGCCUUGAAUUUUGGCAUCACCUUGAAUUUUGGGGUCACCACAGGGUUUGGUGUCACCUCGAAUUUUGGUGUCACCUCCAAUUUUGGUGUUGCCGUGAGUUUGAGCGUUGCCAGGAGGCCGGGUGCCACCACGAAGGGCGGCGUCACCGUGACGUCCACCAUGGCGUCCAACGUCGCCAUCACCAAGAGGUUCACCAUGAGGUUCACCAUGACCAUAAGGUUCACCAUGACCAUGAGGUUCACCGUUCACCAUGAGGUUCACCAUGACCACGAGGUCCACCAUGAGGUCCACCAUGACGUUCACCAUCACCAUGAGGUUCAUCAUGACCAUGACCAUGACGUUCACCAUCACCACAAGGUUCACCAUGCCCAUGCCGUUGACCACCACCACCACGUUCCCCACCACCACGAGGCCCCCCACCAGGUUCCCCCCCA
rnacentral:lncRNA from 1 species